AUGCAUCUAAUCAAAAAAUCUUUUCUUAUUCGUCUUUUUCUAUCUUCCGACUCAUCUCCACUAUACCCCUCGUCUUCUAAUUCCUUCCAUUCGACCAAACAAUUCUCUAUAAUAAUUCACAAAUCCUCUGCUAAUUGUUCUCAAAUAGCACCUGCUCUUGUUGCAAUUUCCCGAUUUCAAAAUGUUGCAAAGCCUGGGGUAGAAAAAAAGGGAGAAAUGUUGUGGUUACAGGAUGCAAUUUCCUCUUCAAAUAAACCUCGUAAUCGUAAAAUGGGGUUUUUAGUGCGGGGCCUAGCAAAAGAGAAAUCACCGUAUACUAGGCCCUCCAACUUCUUAAGAUGUUUAUCUAAAAGUUUCACGAUAUAA
rnacentral:rRNA from 1 species